AACGCGAAGAACCUUACCAGGGUUUGACAUGCACGUGCACCAGCCAGAGAUGGUUGUCCCUUCGGGGCGCGUGCACAGGUGCUGCAUGGUUGUCGUCAGCUCGUGUCGUGAGAUGUUGGGUUAAGUCCCGCAACGAGCGCAACCCCUAUCUCAUGUUGCUAAUCCCGCAAGGGAUGCACUUUUGAGAAACUGCCUUCGAUAAGAAGGAGGAAGGUGGGGACGACGUCAAAUCCUCAUGGCCCUUAUGUCCAGGGCUACACACGUGCUACAAUGGCCGGUACAACGGGAAGCAAUACCGCAAGGUGGAGCAAAACCCUGAAAGCCGGCCCCAGUUCAGAUCGUGGGCUGAAACUCGCCCACGUGAAGGCGGAAUCGCUAGUAAUCGCGAAUCAGCAGGUCGCGGUGAAUACGUUCCCGGGCCUUGUACACACCGGUACUA
rnacentral:rRNA from 1 species